rnacentral:tRNA from 1 species
GGGGCCGUAGCUCAGCUGGGAGAGCGCGACGCUUGCACCGUCGAGGUCAGGGGUUCGAGCCCCCUCGGCUCCACCA